GAUCCACUAGCUCAGUCGGCAGAGCACCUGCCUUUUAAGCAGGGUGUCCGCGGUUCGAAUCCGCGGUGGAUCACCA
rnacentral:tRNA from 1 species